CUAUGCUAUGUUUAAAACCAUGUUAAAAGGAUUUCCUUGAUAUUGCAUUUAAAAGGAUAUAAUGCAUGGGCUCCAUGUCAGCCAUAUAUGCUGGUUAAGAUCAAGGACUAUGGAAAAUAACCAAAACUGGAUCUGAAUCUUCGGUCAUUUUGCAGGCGAGACAAAAUAACAUAUUUUGUGCUGUAUCAUAAAAAUCCUGAACACAACUAAAUUCAUGCGCGUUGUUAUGUAAAUUGUCGGGUAUAAUGGUUAAAUUUCCAUAAUUGUUUUGUAAAAUUUCCCUGAUGUUGAUAAAUUUAUAAAAUUUCUCUGAUGCAGUUUGAACAAGCGAGCUUUGUCAAGUUCCGGUCAAGAAUGGAUGACAACAUGAUUAACCAAAUGUACACAAGCAGAGAAGCAGAGAAUACAAGCAGCAGUUAGAUCCAAUAUGAUGCUAGUUCACCAUUGACCAAUCCCUUUCUUUACUGAAUUAAAAAAAAACAAAAAAACAAACAAAUACAGAUAAUUUGCCAGUAAGACAGAACCAAAAAUAGAAAACACACUAGAAACCAGUAAUGGUGGUUUUUUUUUUAAAUCUUAUGGAUUAUAAAUGGGCUGCCAUAAAUUACUUUGCACAAUUUUUCUUAUGGUUCUCUUUAAAGUUUAAUAUCAUUCUUCCUGCUCAAACACAUCAACUUCCAAAAUAAACCAUCAAAGAUUUGGCUGGAACAAUCAGGCAUUUAAUCUGAGUUUGAUUGUAGAAAGGCAGACAUAUUGGAUAUGGUGCUGCUGGUUGCUAGGGGUAUUUAUGACUCCGUUACUCUACAUACCACAUGUCUUGUCAAGAUAAAAUGUGGAGAUAAUAAAAAUACCGGACUAUUUUAAACAUAUUCUACAACAAUCAAACACCCAUAAACCCAUCUUUCUUACUGUACCUUUAGAUCUACCUGAAGGAUGAUAUAAUUUGUAGGUGCAACGUGAUCAUUGUCUAUGAUGAUAAAAGGUGAUAUAUAGAUGAUCAUCUACGAGAAUUACAAUCAGAGGUUUCUGUGUAAAAUGUUUUGGUCAUAGAUCACUAGAAUUCUAUGUUGCGUGUAAGCUAUUUCAGAAAUGGAUCUAAAUGUUGUAGUGAGCCAUACAUUAACUAUUAAAGAAGAAUAAAUUUAUUGGGAUUCUUCAGCAUCCAAGCAAACCAAAUGCUUUUCUUUGGCAUGUCAUCUCUCCUGACCACUGUCAAGAAGGGGGAAACAGUGAUGUAAAAUGAAACAAAAACAAACCCGAUUACCUACAUGCCUAUAAACUAUGCAUUUCAACAAUAUAGAUGUUGAGGUAAAUGAUUUGACUGGCCAUUCUUCUCAAACAAUUACAUUUUGGCACUCAUGUGAUGUGCUAUUACCUUAUAUUUAUAUCAGUCUGAUUAGAAAUAAUAAAUAAAAUUAUAAUCUAGGUUUCAUUAGAUUGUAGCAUAUGUAUGUAUACGGCCAUAUCAAUAAUUUGUGCAUUUAUGCAUUUUGGAAUCCAGAAUUGAUAAUCAUAACUUCAUGGAGUAUAUUUGAAGGGUAUAUAACAGUGUAAUUGUGGGGGUAUAUUUGAAGGGUAUAUACAGUUUAAUUGUGGGGGUAUAUUUGAGAGGUAUACAACAGUUUUAUUGUGGGGUAUAUUUGAGGGGUAUACAACAGUGUAAUUGUGGGGGUAUAUUUGAAGUGUAUAUAACAGUGUAAUUGUGGGAGUAUAUUUGAAGUGUAUAUAACAGUGUAAUUGUGGGAGUAUAUUUGAAGUGUAUAUAACAGAGUAAUUGUGGGGGUAUAUUUGAAGGGUAUACAACAGUGUAAUUGUGGGGGUAUAUUUGAAGGGUAUACAACAGUGUAAUUGUGGGGGUAUAUUUGAAGGGUAUACAACAGUGUAAUUGUGGGGGUAUAUUUGAAGGGUAUAUAACCAUGUAAUUGUGGGGGUAUAUUUGAAGGGUAUACAACGGUGUAAUUGUGGGAGUAUAUUUGAGGGGUAUAUAACCGUGUAAUUGUGGGAGUAUAUUUGUGGUGUAUAUAACUGUGUAAUUGUGAGGGUAUAUUUGAGGGGUAUAUAACAAUGUUAUAGGGGUAUAUUUGAGGGGUACAUAUCGGUGUAAUCUGGUGGUAUACAACAGUAUCAUUUUGUUAAAGCAUAUCCAGAUAAAAAUCUACUAUCUCUUGGAUUAUAUUACUAUAUUACGCUCAGAAUGUUUCAGGACCUGAAAGAACAUCUGGACAAAAGAUGGUAACGGAAUACUGGACAAA